rnacentral:pre_miRNA from 1 species
UCUUAUGGAUGAGCAAAGAAAGUGGUUUCUUGAUGUGGAAUCUGCUUCUGGUUGAAAAUGCUGUGAA